CGCGUGGCACACCACCUUGUCGGGAUUAUUUACCAUUAUCUCCCCGGCAAUCAGCUUGGUUUUGGUCGUGGCUGUGGUUGUGGUUCCGUCCCAAAAGAUGAGUGAGACCAACUUUGGCGAGCAUGGACGGAAGCAACGAUAAGGGGAGAUUGCGUUUCCCAUGAUGAUGAGGAUGUUUUGUGAUUUUGGUAAGAAGGAUCGAUAGAUUUGGGGGGUGAGACGACCUUGCUUACAUAUAUAUAAAGAGGCGGAGAAAGUCCACGUCGCCUAUGAAGUAAAAGGUCUUAUUUUGGGAGUUGGGUGUUUGGUUUUGGAUUGUUAUGAGCAUUUUUUUAUAUCACUAAUAAUGAAAUAAAACAAUGAUUUUGUUUACAAGUAGAUGUCGUCUCGUGAGGAAAAGGUGCUCCGUGGGGCCCAGUCGGUGGUCAGCGUUGGCGGCCUUUAUUUUAUGGACA
rnacentral:lncRNA from 1 species